rnacentral:rRNA from 1 species
GACGAACGCUGGCGGCGUGCUUAACACAUGCAAGUCGAACGGUGAACCAGAGCUUGCUCUGGGGAUCAGUGGCGAACGGGUGAGUAACACGUGGGCAACCUGCCCCAGACUCUGGGAUAACCUCGGGAAACCGAUGCUAAUACCGGAUACGACCACUUCGGACAUCCGACGGUGGUGGAAAGUUUUUCGGUCUGGGAUGGGCCCGCGGCCUAUCAGCUAGUUGGUGGGGUAAUGGCCUACCAAGGCGACGACGGGUAGCCGGCCUGAGAGGGCGACCGGCCACACUGGAACUGAGACACGGUCCAGACUCCUACGGGAGGCAGCAGUGGGGAAUAUUGCACAAUGGGCGAAAGCCUGAUGCAGCGACGCCGCGUGAGGGACGACGGCCUUCGGUUGGUAAACCUCUUUCUAGCAGGGACGAAGCGAAAGU